GGGAGAGCUGCAGCUCUUCCACGCAGGCAUCUCCAGAUUUCUUCUUCUGCACCCCACACCCCUCUGGAUCUGCUUGGCCUGGCCAAGAGAUACUUUGGAGGCUCUGAGCUCUUGUUACUCCAUUAUGUGUGGCUCAAUUGGGAAAGUCAUUUCACAGCCUUGGGACUCAACAAAAGUGGUUUUGGCAGACUGAAAGGAGGUGACUGGCUGAGAGCCCCAGAUGUCCUUGUUGUGAGCCCGAGCAUCUCCUCCUCCUCACGGCCCUGCUACCUUCACGUGCAACACUUCUGCUGCUCUAAAGAUACCAAAAGGUUUUAAUUACGAUUAAGCCAAGUCAUUUCUACACUUUCGAGCUG
rnacentral:lncRNA from 1 species